GACGAACCGUGCGAACGUUAUUCGGAGUCACUGGGCUUAAAGCGCGUGUAGGCGGGCGGGCACGUCCGACGCUGAAAUCCCCCGGCUCAACCGGGGAAUGGGCGGGGAUACGACCAGCCUGGAGGGACGGAGGGGGACCUGGAACUUCCGGUGGAGCGGUGAAAUGCGUUGAGAUCGGAAGGAACGCCCGUGGCGAAAGCGAGGUCCUGGACGUCUACUGACGCUGAGACGCGAAAGCCAGGGGAGCGAACGGG
rnacentral:rRNA from 1 species